rnacentral:rRNA from 1 species
UGGGGAAUCUUGGACAAUGGGGGCAACCCUGAUCCAGCCAUGCCGCGUGAGUGAUGAAGGCCUUAGGGUCGUAAAGCUCUUUCGCCUGUGAAGAUAAUGACGGUAGCAGGUAAAGAAACCCCGGCUAACUCCGUGCCAGCAGCCGCGGUAAUACGGAGGGGGUUAGCGUUGUUCGGAAUUACUGGGCGUAAAGCGCACGUAGGCGGACCAGAAAGUUGGGGGUGAAAUCCCGGGGGCUCAACCCCGGAACUGCCUCCAAAACUAUUGGUCUAGAGUUCGAGAGAGGUGAGUGGAAUUCCAAGUGUAGAGGUGAAAUUCGUAGAUAUUUGGAGGAACACCAGUGGCGAAGGCGGCUCACUGGCUCGAUACUGACGCUGAGGUGCGAAAGUGUGGGGAGCAAACAGGAUUGAGACCCUGGUAGUCCACACCGUAAAACGAUGAAUGCCAGUCGUCGGGUAGCAUGCUAUUCGGUGACACACCUAACGGAUUAAGCA